AUCCGUAUACUAAGUCCGUGGGUGCAGCAGGGCUGCUCGAGUAUGAAUAGAAGCGAGGAGGCCCGGGAAAGUCAGAACCUUAUAGUCCUGUCCUGCGAGCACUUGCCCUCCUGCUCGUAUAUACGCUGGUCAAGACUGCGAUUUUCUAAAACAUGCAUCCAACGCUCGUUCAACCGCAUUUUAGCAGUUUCAACAUGGAAUCAAAAAAAGAAACUUUAAUACGGAAGAAAGUAAUCGAUAGAGAUGAAAAUAAUAAUUUGAAAUAGAAUACAUUGCUGCUUUUUAUACAGAUUAACAAAAAUGCAAAAAAUGAGCCGAACCGAGCGGUGGAGGCCUCCACCGAUUAAUUUUGCAUGGGACUCCGCUUAACCAACUUACCCACCCUGCCACCUUGGACGGAUUUUGGUCGGUUUGGUCCUUGGGCGGGUGUUUUGGCUUGGUUAGGCUAUUUUUUUUCUUUGCGAGGUAUGGAUUUGACUAGAAAUAAUAGGAACUAUGGGUGAGUUGGUUUUGCCAGGGGUGAGAUUUGAACUCACGCUCAAGUCCUGGCAUGCUUUCAUCAGCGCAGAGCCUUUAACCGCUCGGCCAACGUCGGCUCGAAAACAUUCAGACACUUUUCUGAUGACUAUCGUCACGCCCUUCUCUAGCGCCUUAAGAACUAUGACGACGUCGAUAAGAAUUAGGCAGGGUGGUCGAUUAUCGAUCAUCGAUCAUACGCAAAAGUUUGUACGCAGUGUCGCGCUUGAUGUUAUGCUUGUCUGGACUUUAUUCGUGUUAAAUCUCAUUUGUGUCUGUUAAAGUUAUAUUUACUUUUUCAUUAAUUUGUUGCUACGUUUGUUUAUUUAUGUACAUGUACAUAGUUGAUGAAAUCAAGCAAUAAAUUACAGUGAAAAAUACACACAA